CAGUCGCCACGGUAAUACGGAGGAUCCGAGCGUUAUCCGGAAUUAUUGGGUUUAAAGGGUGCGUAGGCGGAUAGAUAAGUCAGUGGUGAAAGACGGUGGCUCAACCAUCGCAGUGCCGUUGAUACUGUUUAUCUUGAAUAUGGAUGAGGUAGGCGGAAUGUGGCAAGUAGCGGUGAAAUGCAUAGAUAUGCCACAGAACACCGAUUGCGAAGGCAGCUUACCAAGGCAAAAUUGACGCUGAGGCACGAAAGCGUGGGGAUCGAACAGGAUUAGAUACCCCUGUAGUCCCUGUCUCUUAUAC
rnacentral:rRNA from 1 species